GGCAGGGCGGCGACUACCAUGCAAGUCGAACGGUAACAGGAAGCAGCUUGCUUCUUUGCUGACGAGUGGCGGACGGGUGAGUAAUGUCUGGGAAACUGCCUGAUGGAGGGGGAUAACUACUGGAAACGGUAGCUAAUACCGCAUAACGUCGCAAGACCAAAGAGGGGGACCUUCGGGCCUCUUGCCAUCGGAUGUGCCCAGAUGGGAUUAGCUUGUUGGUGGGGUAACGGCUCACCUAGGCGACGAUCCCUAGCUGGUCUGAGAGGAUGACCAGCCACACUGGAACUGAGACACGGUCCAGACUCCUACGGGAGGCAGCAGUGGGGAAUAUUGCACAAUGGGCGCAAGCCUGAUGCAGCCAUGCCGCGUGUAUGAAGAAGGCCUUCGGGUUGUAAAGUACUUUCAGCGGGGAGGAAGGGAGUAAAGUUAAUACCUUUGCUCAUUGACGUUACCCGCAGAAGAAGCACCGGCUAACUCCGUGCCAGCAGCCGCGGUAAUACGGAGGGUGCAAGCGUUAAUCGGAAUUACUGGGCGUAAAGCGCACGCAGGCGGUUUGUUAAGUCAGAUGUGAAAUCCCCGGGCUCAACCUGGGAACUGCAU
rnacentral:rRNA from 1 species